rnacentral:rRNA from 1 species
GACGAACGCUGGCGGCGUGCCUAAUACAUGCAAGUUGAGCGCUGAAGGUUGGUACUUGUACCGACUGGAUGAGCAGCGAACGGGUGAGUAACGCGUGGGGAAUCUGCCUUUGAGCGGGGGGCAACAUUUGGAAACGAAUGCUAAUACCGCAUAACAACUUUAAACACAAGUUUUAAGUUUGAAAGAUGCAAUUGCAUCACUCAAAGAUGAUCCCGCGUUGUAUUAGCUAGUUGGUGAGGUAAAGGCUCACCAAGGCGAUGAUACAUAGCCGACCUGAGAGGGGGAUCGGCCACAUUGGGACUGAGACACGGCCCAAACUCCUACGGGAGGCAGCAGUAGGGAAUCUUCGGCAAUGGACGAAAGUCUGACCGAGCAACGCCGCGUGAGUGAAGAAGGUUUUCGGAUCGUAAAACUCUGUUGGUAGAGAAGAACGUUGGUGAGAGUGGAAAGCUCAUCAAGUGACGGUAACUACCCAGAAAGGGACGGCUAACUACGUGCCAGCCGCCGCCGUAA